rnacentral:rRNA from 1 species
UACGAAGGGUGCAAGCGUUACUCGGAAUUACUGGGCGUAAAGCGUGCGUAGGUGGUUCGUUAAGUCUGAUGUGAAAGCCCUGGGCUCAACCUGGGAAUGGCAUUGGAAACUGGCGACCUAGAGUGCGGUAGAGGGUAGUGGAAUUCCCGGUGUAGCAGUGAAAUGCGUAGAGAUCGGGAGGAACAUCUGUGGCGAAGGCGACUGCCUGGACCAGCACUGACACUGAGGCACGAAAGCGUGGGGAGCAAACGGG